rnacentral:miRNA from 1 species
UUCCGCCCGCUCUCCCACCGCCUUU